rnacentral:ncRNA from 1 species
AUAAAAAUAAUGAUAGGGACAAGUAGAUAUAACUAUACUUUAAAGAGAGUGCGCAUGGUGAAAAAACACAUUUAUAUUAUAUUGAAACUCACCCUUAAAUUGCAAUCUGAAAUCAGUAGGACUUGUGCCGGCAUGAAGCCGUUAAACUAUUUAAGUGAUAAAUUUGGGUGGUACCGCGAUAGACCUUUCGCCCCAUGG